rnacentral:misc_RNA from 1 species
UUUGUUUUCAAAGUUUGAUUUACUUCUUUCCUGGAACUUCCUUUGCUGUAGAGUUUACAGAUCUUUUCUUAGAGCUGAUAAUUCUAGUUUUAGGCUCGUCAGAUGUGACUUCUUACAAAUUUCUAUUUGGAGAUGAACAAUCCCUUGGAUAUUAGAAGUCCACAUAAAAGUGAGUCAGUACACCUCAUUUUGAUCGGGGAGGACAUCUUUGUCAAUGAACUAAAAAGACUUCUACAUUGUUCUAGGGAUUCAUAGGAAACUUGAUCUAUUGCUAUUCAUAUAUGCGUUAUGAGAAAAAUCUUUGAGUUGGCUUUGGAGAUGGGUUUAGAGGGAAAGACAAAAUCCUCAAACUUCCUUUACCAGAAUUUGUAUUUUUAACACCUAUUUUUUUGUCAAAAUAAUUUAUGAGCUGGCUACGUUGUCACUUGUUUUUUAUACACUUGUUCAUCUUUCAAUUCUUUGGUCAAAUGCAUUGCAAUAUACAGUAGCAGAUCUAGAAAAUUUUGUCAGUGGGGGAAGCUGCACACAUCACAUACAUAUAUUUGUAUGAAUAAAAAAAAUUAACAUAUGCAUAUAAAUAAAAUCAAGAAUAAAACGGUUACUCUACACACUGAAGCAAAAAGAAGUAAUUGAAAUCUUAUUAAAUAAAAAUUAUUACAUAUGCAUAUAAAUAAAAAUUACAAUAAAUCACUAACUUUAUGCAGUGGGGUGUAGAGAGAAGUAACUGAGUGGGGGCAAACUUAUAAAAGCACAAACUCUACACAGGAUUUUUAGAAGUCGUUGGUGGUAGUUGCCCCCCAAUGCCUCCAUGAUCGACCCUUGGCAAUGUAAAUUUUGUCAAAAAGUUUUUUCUUAAUGCAGUAAACUACUUAAAAAAAAAAUCCAGUAAAUUGAAUGAUUAUUACUUAUUACAUCUGAUCCUUAUCCAGUGUAGCUACUAGUUUGUGGAAACUUUCAAAUAGAUCUAUAUGUUGCAUCCUCUUUUUUUUUUCUUCUACGGUUAUGGCAAGUGCCUGUUAGUCAUGCUUUGUACGACCUCUGACUUGAAUUUUUUUUAUGAAAGACCAGAUUUGGUCAGAGAAUUGAUAAUGACCAUUCAAACCCAUGCCUGUAGGUCCAACAUCAUUUGCUCCAAUUAUUGAUGCAGCAAUUGACAUUGUAGAAAACAGCACUGGACAAUAUCAUGUCCUUGUUAUCAUUGCUGAUGGGCAGGUUACUAGGAGUCCUGAUAUUCCACCUGGGAGUUACAGUCCGCAAGAGCAAGCGACUGUGAAGUCCAUUGUUGCUGCUAGGUAAAGUAAUGCUUUCUGAAUCUCAAGUUGUCAUUUGUGCUUUUCUUACCUUCUUGAUUCUUGGAUAUUUAACGAACAGCCAAUAUCCUCUGUCAAUAAUUUUGGUUGGAGUUGGGGAUGGACCAUGGGAUGCAAUGGAACAAUUUGAUGAUAACAUUCCUCAACGUGCAUUUGAUAACUUCCAGUUUGUCAACUUUACAAAAAUCAUGUCUGAGAACACACAAAUAUCAAAGAAAGAAACAGCCUUUGCACUUGCUGCCCUUAUGGAAAUUCCAUUCCAGUACAGAGCCACUCAAAGGCUUAAUUACAUGAAUAGAGAAUCAAGUUUAGCACAGGCGAGGCCUCAUCCUCGUACAAGGCCUCUUCCUCCUCCACGUGAAGUGGUUGAUCAUGAUAAUGCUGUUAAAUCAAUCCCAAUCAUAAAAAAUUUUGAUGCAGUUGAACCAACAGCUCCAGUAGAACCGGUAUUAUAUUUUCCAUUUCUCCUAAUUUUAUUUCAUGUUGAAAUAAUCAGUGGUUUUGAGUUAACUAUUUCUUUUAUUUAAGGUGUGUCCCAUUUGCUUGACAAACCCAAAAGACAUGGCCUUUGGAUGCGGUCAUAUGGUAAAUCACUUUGAUCAUAUUAUUCAUCUAAAUUCAAUCUAAAAAUGCAGUGGUGUUUGGAAUAAUUCUGAUGAAUUUCAUACUGAACUUACUGAACUCAUACACAACCUUUUUCCUGCUAGAGAAAUAAGCAUAAUUAGGUUCAUAGAACGGCCAUGAUCAUAAGAAAUAUAGCAUAGGGCAAAGUUGUGCAAGAGCAAAGAAAAAGUUCGAAGAAGCUGUGAUACUUUAUCAGGUAGCCUUCCCAGAAAAAAAAGGUGUGGGCAGAAAGGCAGAAAAGGGCAAUCAUGCUUGGUGACUGUGCCUCCCAGAAUACUUAUAAUAAGCUUACUUCAUUUUUAAUAGUUUAAUAUAUAUAUAUAUAUAU